rnacentral:rRNA from 1 species
GACGAACGCUGGCGGCGUGCCUAACACAUGCAAGUCGAACGGGGUUAACCUUCGGGUUAACUUAGUGGCGAACGGGUGAGUAACGCGUGAGAAACCUGCCUUUCAGUGGGGGACAACAGUUGGAAACGACUGCUAAUACCGCAUAAUGUUAUCGAGCGGCAUCGCUUGAUAACCAAAGCUUUAUGUGCUGAAAGAUGGUCUCGCGUCUGAUUAGCUAGAUGGCGGGGUAACGGCCCACCAUGGCGACGAUCAGUAGCCGGUCUGAGAGGAUGAACGGCCACAUUGGGACUGAGAUACGGCCCAGACUCCUACGGGAGGCAGGAGUGGGGAAUAUUGGGCAAUGGGGGAAACCCUGACCCAGCAACGCCGCGUGAAGGAAGAAGGCCUUCGGGUUGGAAACUUCUUUUACCAGGGACGAAGAACGUGACGGUACCUGGAGAAAAAGCAACGGCUAACUACGUGCCAGCCGCCGCGGUAAGAC